rnacentral:lncRNA from 1 species
AUUUAUUUAAUCGACUGUCCCUCCUUUUGAAUUAGUCUGAUGUUUCCUCACAAUUAGAUUCCGGUUGUACCUUUUUGGCAGGAAAACCACAGAGGUGAUAUCAUGUCCUUCAGCACACAUACAUCAGGAGAUAUAUGCUAUCAAUCUGUCCCAUUUGUCCCUUGCGAUGUUAACUUUGAUCAUUUGAUUCAGGUGGGGAUUAUCAGUCCUCUCUACUGUAAAGUUAUUAUUUUUCUCUUUGAAAUCAAUAGGUGUUUUAUGAGGAUCUACUUUGAGAUUGUGUAAAUACACUGUUUCUCAUCAAAUUUUUACCCACUAGUUUUAACAUCCCUUGAUAAUUCUUGCCUGAAUCAUUAAUGACUCUAAGGUUUACCAAAUGGUCAUUUUCUAAUUUUAUCAUUUCUUAUACCUAUAUUAGUUGUAAUUUUACUCUAAGGAAAGCCUUUUUCUUUUUCUCCAUUUAUUUAUUUGCUUAUAUUAAUAUGGACUUAGAUUUUCACAUUUUAUCCAAUUUAUUAUUAUUAUUAUUUUAGAUGAAGUCUCCCUUUUGUCAUCCAGACUGGAGUGCAGUGGUGUGAUCUCGGCUCACUGCAGCCUCCGCUUCCUGGGUUCAAGCAAUUCUCCCGCCUCAGCCUCCCGAGUAGCUGGGAAAACAGGUGCUCACCACCAUGCCCAGCUAAUUUUUGUAUUUUUAGUAGAGAUGGAGUUUCACCGUGUUGGCCAGGCUGGUCUCGAACUCCUGACCUCAGGUGAUCCACCCGCCUUGGCCUCCCAAAAUGCUGGGAUUACAGGCAUGAGCCACCGUGCCCAGUUGAUUAUUAUUAUUAUUUUUUAAAAGUUCAGAUUGUCCAAGAUUUGAAUGGGAGCUCCUUCCAGCUUCUUCUUCUUCUUCUUCUUUUUUUUUUUUUUUUUAUUGAAACAGGGUAUCUUUUACUACAUAGCACAGGCUGGAGUGCAGAGUGGCUAUUUACAGAGGUGAUCAUGGCUCACUGCAGCCUCAAACUCUUGGGUUCAAGCAAUCCUCCCACCUCAGCCUCCUGACUAGCUGGGACUACAGGUGCAUGUUACUGCCCCCCAGCUAGGGUUAUUUUUGAAGGUGGAUUCUCCAAAACUCUGGUCCAGGCUAUUUCUCCAAAUUAUGAAUGUUUAAACAGCAUUCAAGAAUCUAAUUUUUAACAUUAUGAGAAAGCACAGCAUCUAUGCCAGUGAAUUUUAGAGUUCCAACGAAAUAACAAGAUGUUUAUUUACAUACAUUUUAUAAUCUUCCUAAAGACCAGACUCAUUUCCUAAGUGAGGACAUGACUUCCUCUCUCUUCUCCCGGUCCUGAUGUAUGUCCAGUCCAUUUCACAGUAGACCUACUGAGGAAGUAGCAGGGUAGAGAGGAGAGUCAGGGAAGUGGGAAGGUGAGAGAGAAGUAGGGAGGAAAAGGAACAGGAGGAGAAAGAACUCCUCUCCUCUCCUCAUUUGUUCAGACGGUCUGGCACCUACAGCCUCCUCAUGUCCCCCAGCCCCACUGCCCCCUCCUGGAAGUCAGCGCACUGCUGCCGCUGGCAUUCACAUCGUGUCGGCAGGACGCCGCGUUGUCAGAGGUUAGAGACAGCCACUUUCAUCUCAGAAAAGGGGCCGGGAGAUGACCUGGGUUAUAUAGAAGGAACUCAAGUCUUCUUGCCGCAGAAAUGCCACUGGAAGGGAUGGAGGAGAGAAAACCCGGUUGUAUGAUGUCUGCAUUGCCCUCCUCGCUGGAACUCACCACAGGCUGGAGGUGCUUCCGGCAGAACCGAGCUCCGGGGAAAGCCUGUGAUAAAUCAUCUCUGUCUUUACUAGCCAAGGGUUGCUAUGGCAAUAGGAAUACACUGUAGGUUUUAAGAGAUGUAAUUUUCUGUGAUUCACUGUAUAUUUUUAGCCAUUUUUCCCUCUGUAUUAUCUCCCUGUGGUAAUUGCCUAUUAAUGCUGGUCUGUACUAAGAUUGGACUAAACGGUCGAUUCUCAGAAGAGAUGAAAACCCUGGAGCUCAGCUGAUGCGUGCUUCUGAACAGCUGACCCUGAGGCCUUCAUCCACCUCUUGACCAGGACCCCCUCAUCAGGGCUUCCAUCCAGGAAUUUGAGAAGGAUUUAAACACCAUGAAGAAAAAGAGUUUGCUGUGAAAUUUGUGGAGGGAAGAGCAAUAAAAAGUCAACAUCUCCCAGCGGGACAGGACGAGUGCGCUGCUAUUUCCCGAAAGGCGCUCAGGAAGGGCCCUGCCUCCGGGUGGGGAGGAGAGGCGGGCAGCCUGGACUUAACCAGAGCCUGCCAGUUGCUCGUGUUUAUUGAGGGCCAUCUGCUCUCAGGGCCCUCAAUCUUGUACUCGGUCUAUUUGGAAAAGGAUUUAAAGGGCAAAGAAAAUAAUAUCUUCAUCUACUAUUCGGGCUUUUCCAGGACAAUACUGAUUUCAAAUAUUUUAUCCUCCUGUCGCCUUAAGCUAUCACAAAUGUUUUAGAAAUCCCAACUUCGUAGUGUCUAAAUGGAAUUUUCAGAAUUGCCUGUAAACCUCUUACCUUCUGCAGCACAAAAUCCUUUCUCUGAACACACAUCUCAGAUUUUUGGCUGGGAUAAUACAGUCAUCAUAGAAUACUGAACAGAAGGAAUUUCAAGGAAGGCAAUUUAAAGUUAGAGGGAAGAGCAGUAAAUGUAAAACUAUAAACAAAUAAAAAUGAAAUAAUAGCUCGUUCUUAUUGAGAGAUUUAGUGCCGUGCUUAUGGUUGUGGAUACUGAAGCCAGUCUCUCUGGGUUCAUAUCCCAGCUUUGAUACUUACUAGCUGUGUGACCUGGACAAGCCAGUUAACCUCUCUGUGCCUCAGUUUCCUCAUCCACUAAAAUGUGGAGAAUGGUACAGGGUUAUGAGGGUUUCGU